CCGUGCCACACGGGCACAUAAAAUGGCAUUCAGGAGUUAAGGCCUUAAGUUCCCGAAUGACAUUUUUUUCGGCAGAGCUGCCACACGACCAAAUUUAAUGACAUUUGACCCGAUGAUGUCGAUGACAGCGUCUUCUGAAGUGCGCAAUAUUAGGGUAUAAAUUUAUAAAAUAGAUAUGCAUUUACAAGGUUAAACUGCCGUAAUAAACAGUGAAAUAUAAAACUAAGCAUACUAUGGCACAGUUAGUUUGAGUUUCUUGCUUUUUUUUUAGAAUCGGCCAUAGCAACUGUGGCCAAUGUAUGUCAAAUCCGAAGCCCAGAGACAAAAUGGCGCCUGCCGCAGCGAGACCGAUGCAACGCCGACCUGAGGAAGUUCGUCGAGCAAAACUUCUGACAGCUGCGUUGAUAUGCCUCCGCGCGAAAGAUCGCGCACAACAUCGCAGGCUGCAAGAGCAAAGAGAAGCUCUAAGACGUCAGAUCCGCGACGUAGAGCUUCAGAUGUUUUCGAACACCUUCAACGUGGUUGCCGUCGCUACCAUUUUGAGCGCAACAGCCAGAGCUCGAUGGCGCUUUCCUCGCAGCCAGCGGUGGUUUGAGGACACCUUGCCUAAUUUGGGAGAAGCGCACUUCAAGAAGUGUUUCCGCGUUUCUCCAGCCACGUUCAGGUACAUCGUGGAGUCUUGUCGCAGUGACCUGCAACGUGUAGAUACAGUAAUGACCGAGGCCAUUUCUGUAGAGAAGAGAGUCGCCGUCGCGCUCUACCGCUUGUGUUCAACUGCGGAAGACAGAACGAUUUCAGAGUUAUUUUCUCUUGGCCGUUCUACAGUGAACAAAAUAUACAAGGAGUUUUGUGAAGCUGUUCUGCGAAACCUCGAGGAAGCCUGGAUCAAGAUGCCUGCACCCGCAGAUAUUGAGGACCACAUGAGGGAGUUCUUUGCUAUGACCGAGUUCCCACAAGGCGUUGGUGCGCUUGACGGAUGUCAUUUUCCGGUGUCACCACCGAAAGAACAUGCUUCAGAUUACCACAACUACAAGGGGUGGUACAGUAUGAUCCUGCUGGCAGUGGUCGACCACCGGUACCGGUUUUGCUAUACCAAUGUCGGCUCUCCUGGGCGGUGCCAUGACGCAUUUGUUUACGGCAGGUCGGCGCUUCGGAAGCUAGUUGAAAGUGAUGCAUUUCAACAUCCAACAGCUGCCAUCGAAGGUGUUCAUGUACCUCCUAUUAUUUUAUGCGAUCAAGCGUUUUCCCUGACCUGUAACCUUCAGAAGCCGUACGCAAAUGCAUUGCCCAACACGCCUGAAUAUGCAUUUAAUUACAACUUGUCAAAAUCAAGAAGAAUUGUAGAAAAUGCUUUCGGCCGAAUGAAAGCCAGAUUUCGCUUUGUAAUGAAGCGCAUGGAGUGCAGUCUUGAUACUGCCAGAUUGGUAAUAAGGGCGUGUUGUGUUUUGCACAAUGUAUGCGAGAGUUUUAAAGAAAGAGUAGAACAGCAGUGGGAGCAAGAAGUAGCUAUGUGGGAUGCCACCCAUGAACAGCCUUCUCACAGCUCGGAAUCAUGUGCCAGUAAUGGCCAAGCUGUAAGGGUGGCACUCGCACAGCACUUUUUUUCAAAAAGCCAGCAGCCCGCCCAUCUAGGCUAGACCGGCUUUUAGGACACUUGACUUGUAUCUGCAUAGGCAGCCAUUUAUAGCACAUCUUUAUUGCUUUUUCUUAAAUUUCCUUAGAUGUACAAACACAGAUUUGAAACAGAACUGCUUGUUAGCCUAGUUGGUGCUUGCUAAAAGACUGUUUUUGCCGCAAUUGAACACACACGCAUUGGUUCGUGUAUUGCGCCGCUGCGGUGCAACAUAUUCUUAUCUAGUGUUGGCCGCCUGCUCCAAGAGGCUUUGAAACGGGACAGCACUUUAAACAUCUUAAAAGUUUUUAGAUACAUGGACGACUUUUUAAUCCUUUUUAACAGACAAGGCUCAUUGAAGCGCUGCGAUGAUAUUUUAAACAUGUUUAUGGACAAUGGUAAAAGGCUUUCGUUUACGCAUGAAGUACCACAGCGUAACACCCUGCAAUAUUUAGAUUUAAAUCCUUUCAUGACGGACAAGCUUGCUGGCAAUAUUUCCCACGUGCCAAGGAAGGGUUGCUGCUGUAUAAUUCAUGCCAUUCCAAAAUUGUCAAGCGUGGAAUUGCUAUGCUCUGCCUAGAGUCUGCCCUCGAAAAAUCGUGUACACACACGAUGCAGGCCUCGUUCAAUAAUCAGAUUAAGCGACUCGUUGGUGACCUCAGUCACCGAAAGUCUUUUACGGAAGGUUUAAGGUACCAGCGCCACAAGGGAGAAAGAAAGAGCCAGAGCCGCGAGACCUGCAGUGAUUCCUUACGUUCCUCAGUUAUGUUAUGUUCCUUAGAUUCCUUAGUUAUGUUAUGUUGAUGUUAUAACCUCAAGAAGGUGGCAAGCAGGUAUGGUGUACCCAUUGCCUUUUCUGCCCCCGUCAAACUGGGUCGACUCUGUUCGAAAAACACACACGAGGAGACCGGUUUGCAAGGCUGUGGCAAGAAGCAUAGCACGUCCUACGAGAGAUGCGCUACAGGCGGAGUGUAUGAAAUUCCCCUUCAGUGCGGCUAGUCCUAUAUAGGACAGACUGGACGCUGCACAAAUGAACGAGCCAGGGAACACGAACUAAAUCUAAUGAAAGAUGGCGUGGCACAUUUGCCAUCCGCUCACAUGCUGUUUGAAAUCUACUUCUGCCAAGACCCUAAUCUCAGAAAACCAUGGUUUGCACAUUUGCCUGCGCACUGCAAGGCCUGCAUGUGCAAACCACGGUUUCCUGAGAUAAUGAUUCCUGGCAGAAGCAGAGUUCAAACAGCAUGUGAGCUGAUGGAAGCUUACUAUAUAAAAGAGAAAGGUGCAAAUUGCAUUAGCGAUGCAUCUAUUGUGCUCUAUAAAUCGGAAACUAGAUUGUUUGACCACUGUUAAAAGUGCCGCCCGUGUUGUCUUUAUCCGUCUUCCUUUUAUGCCUGUUCAAUUGCUGCAAAAAACAUGUCUUUUAACAGAUUUAAAAGUCUGUACAUGACUGGUUCUAUUUUAACGAAGUGGUCAGGUCAUACCAUUGCUUCCGCUACGUUGUACAUGAACACAGUAUGUUGUUUUGGCCUCCUUUGUUGUAAAAGCAAAUAAAGGAUUUCCCGUUUUGUGCAGAAUACUUUGGCAAGGCUGUCGGGCAAACUUCCAUUCCUUUUUGGCUGUAAUUUGAUUUCAGCCACCACUGUGCAUACCUCGCAAUUGCAGAACUUGUAUGCACAAGAGCUUGUUGUAGGCAAUUAUGAAACCACAUAUUCUUAUAGGAACGUGUGAACUCCUGUACUGAUGUUUUAUUUUUGAACAUGUCAAUUUCAUUGCAUGUAACAUUUGCAUUGUCUUUCAUUCUGGGUCAUGCGACUAUUGAAUGUACUGCUUCAUUGUGAGAGGUCAUGACUGACAAGUGAAAUAAACAAAAUUCAGUGGCUUUAA